rnacentral:rRNA from 1 species
UACGUAGGGUGCAAGCGUUGUCCGGAAUUAUUGGGCGUAAAGAGCUCGUAGGCGGUCUGUCGCGUCGGACGUGAAAAUCCAGGGCUCAACCCUGGACCUGCGUUCGAUACGGGCAGACUAGAGUUCGGUAGGGGAGACUGGAAUUCCUGGUGUAGCGGUGAAAUGCGCAGAUAUCAGGAGGAACACCGGUGGCGAAGGCGGUUCUCUGGGAAUGUCCUGACGCUGAGGAGCGAAAGCGUGGGGAGCGAACAGG